rnacentral:rRNA from 1 species
CCUACGGGAGGCAGCAGUAGGGAAUAUUGCUCAAUGGGGGAAACCCUGAAGCAGCAACGCCGCGUGGAGGAUGAAGGUUUUCGGAUUGUAAACUCCUUUUGUUAGAGAAGAUAAUGACGGUAUCUAACGAAUAAGCACCGGCUAACUCCGUGCCAGCAGCCGCGGUAAUACGGAGGGUGCAAGCGUUACUCGGAAUCACUGGGCGUAAAGAGCGCGUAGGCGGGAUAGCAAGUCAGAUGUGAAAUCCUAUGGCUUAACCAUAGAACGGCAUUUGAAACUGGUAUUCUAGAGUAUGGGAGAGGUAGGUGGAAUUCUUGGUGUAGGGGUAAAAUCCGUAGAGAUCAAGAGGAAUACUCAUUGCGAAGGCGACCUACUAGAACAUAUCUGACGCUGAGGCGCGAAAGCGUGGGGAGCAAACAGGAUUAGAUACCCCAGUAGUC